UACGGAGGGUGCAAGCGUUAUCCGGAUUCACUGGGUUUAAAGGGUGCGUAGGCGGGCAGGUAAGUCCGUGGUGAAAUCUCUGAGCUUAACUCAGAAACUGCCAUGGAUACUAUUUGUCUUGAAUAUUGUGGAGGUAAGCGGAAUAUGUCAUGUAGCGGUGAAAUGCUUAGAUAUGACAUAGAACACCCAUUGCGAAGGCAGCUAACUACGCGAUUAUUGACGCUGAUGCACGAAAGCGUGGGGAUCAAACAGG
rnacentral:rRNA from 1 species